UUGCAGCCAUUUGAGCUGACAGGUCCCUUCUUCAUGAAGGCCUAUGUGCAAUGGCUGCAAACAGCAGCCUUCUUGAUAGCACAUUUAACCUGCUGCCUAUAUGAGUUGCUCCAGGACACAGUGGCCAGGG